rnacentral:rRNA from 1 species
ACGCCAGACUCCUACGGGAGGCAGCAGUGGGGAAUAUUGCACAAUGGGGGGAACCCUGAUGCAGCGACGCCGCGUGGGUGAAGGAGUGCUUCGGUACGUAAAGCCCUAUCAGCAGGAAAGAAAAUGACGGUACCUGACUAAGAAGCCCCGGCUAACUACGUGCCAGCAGCCGCGGUAAUACGUAGGGGGCAAGCGUUAUCCGGAUUUACUGGGUGUAAAGGGGGCGCAGACGGCAGCGCAAGCCAGGAGUGAAAGCCCGGGGCCCAACCCCGGGACUGCUCUUGGAACUGCGCGGCUGGAGUGCAGGAGGGGCAGGCGGAAUUCCUGGUGUAGCGGUGAAAUGCGUAGAUAUCAGGAGGAACACCGGUGGCGAAGGCGGCCUGCUGGACUGCGACUGACGUUGGGGCCCGAAAGCGUGGGGAGCAAACAGGAUUAGAUACCCCAGUAUAA